rnacentral:rRNA from 1 species
CAAUAGCGUAUAUUAAAGUUGUUGCAGUUAAAAAGCUCGUAGUUGGAUUUCUGUGAGAGUGCCGGUGUCGGCUGAUGCUUGUACGCAGGCGCUCUUACAUCCUUCUGUUAACUCAUCUUGGCAUUUUAUUGCUGGUUGAGGGCUCAGAUAUUUUACCUUGAGAAAAUUAGAGUGUUUCAGGCAGGCUUAUGCCGGAAUACAUUAGCAUGGAAUAAUGGAACAGGACCUGUGCGUCUCUCGGGGCGCCGGUCUCCGUUAUUGGUUUCGGGGACUAAUGUAAUGAUUAAUAGGGAUAGUUGGGGGCAUUAGUAUUUAAUAGUCAGAGGUGAAAUUCUCGGAUUUGUUAAAGACUAACUUAUGCGAAAGCAUUUGCCAAGGAUGUUUUCAUUGA